rnacentral:lncRNA from 1 species
UAUCGUAGGCAACAGUAGUAUAGGCCAACGAUCAAGUUAAUAAUUUGUUUAAUUGAUUUUGUCAAAAUACUCUCCUUAUCUCUUGUAACAAACUAGCGAAAUGAUUGAAUCCGAGGAUCGUAGUCAAGUUUAUCGAUAGGCUAUUUGAACUUAAUUUAAAGUCUUUUCAAAGCUCAUAAACCAACCUUGAAGUCAGCCACAUCGUAUCUCUUCGUACUAUUUGUGUGUUUUGCUCAAAACAAUCACCAGCGCGCCACCAUAAACGAAGUCCGACGACCUUCCAUCACGACAAUCAGCGUUCCGUUUCGACGCAACGUAACGGUCCCUGGAUAAUCGAUCGUUUCCGUUCAUGUCAUUGAGCCAUCUUCGUUUGCUUGUUCUAAGCAGCAGCGGACCUCAGACAUAUUGUUAGAAGAUCUUUGUUGAAUCUCCAUUAUUUUGGUCAACUAUCCUUCUCUAUGGCCGUUGCUUUAACCCGGUUCGAUAGCUCUAGUCGGUUGUCUUUAGUAAACUCCCAUCAGCUUCUAAGGUUUGCCUACAUAUAAUGGACGAUUUCGUUUUUGUUUUGUGUUGCUUGCUGAAAUAAGGUGCUCCUGAAGAAAACUGAAUGUCAACUAAUGGAAUAUCGGAGCAGCCUGGCACUAGAGGAGAAGGCUACUGGUCCCUGCCACUGAGAAACAGGGAGUUAGUAUGUUUGUGUACAUAAGUAAACCAUAUUUCAAAAAUCCUAAAAUCUGAAAAAAUUAAAAAUUAAAAAUAUGUUUGUUUUUAAAUUUGUCAAAAAUUCAAAAAAAAAUUUUAAAAAUAUGUUGAUUGAAUAUGCCAAAACCCUCACGACUGAACAAACAUAAUUAAUUUCACAAGAUUGUAAAAUGGUUUUCAAACUGUAAAAUAUCAUUGUGUUGUAUAUCAUGGGGUUAUAGUUUCUGUAAAACAGAGCAUGUAAAGCAGAAAAUGGAUGGCGAGACAAAGUUAUCUACAUCG